ACUUUUGUUUGGCCGCAUGUCCUUUAUGUGACUGAAUUAGUCAAAGCCAUACUCACAAUCCAAAAGGACAAAUAGGAAACGAAACUUAAGAAUAAUGUAUGUUAUAAGCAUCAAUAUGAGCUUUGCUUAUUUAUAAAAUAAAGAAACCAUAACCUUAGCUUAGCCAUCAUUACAUGCUUUUAUUGUGAGCACAAUCUCAUGUCAUUAAAAAUCAUAAAUAAAGUUAGAAAAUAUAUUCAGAAUUUGAUUUUUUUUUUUUUUUUGAAGAACUAAAAAAAGGCUGGAAUCUAGAUUUCGCAAUUUUUAUACUUUAAUUGGAUUAACAGGCCCAGCUAACCUAUAGUUUCUAAAGUUGAAAAAUUAAAAAUUUGGGGCCAAAUUGUCUAAAGUUUGAGAAGCUUCAAAGAGACAAAAGAAUAAGCAUAUUUGAUAUUUGGUAUCACCUAUAGUUUCUAACAUUGGAAGCUACUGUGAACACAUCAGGGAAUUUGGGCUGGAAUGAUAUUUGGCGGCACUGCAGUCCAAACCUUGAUACUAGCCAUCAUUACCAUGCGGUGCGACUGGGAUAGAGAGGUACCUCCAUUCCUUAAAAAUCUUUUUGGAGUCGUCGUCUUUUAGUAUCACAACUUGGGAUGAAUUAGCUUAGCCUUUAACUUUAUGGUUUUUUUUUCUUUUUUUUGGUGAAUCUUUAGGCGGAGAAAGCAGCCACGGCUUUAAGGAACAUAAAAUAAGAGAAUCGAUCCGGGCCAAGUUGGUUGGAAAUGCUAGUAAACCUUUUUUUUUUGGGGUCCUUUAUAAAAAAUCAAGAAAUGUUAUAAUUUUCCAAACAAUUAUUAUUUGCUGAGCUUUGGGUGAAAAAGUUUCGAUAUUUUAAGGAAGCAGUUUCUGGGUAUUGUAUUGUGGUGAUAUUUAUCGGGGCUAUUUUGAAAUUUGGAGAAGUGUGGAGUGAAAUAAAGUUAUUAAAUUUUGCUAUAUCAGUUACUGUAUAGAAUGUAGCCCCCACCCAUACAUUUAUAUUUUUUAUCGUGUAUUUGUAAUUUUUUUUUUUUGAAAGGGUGUAUUUGUAAUAGUUGGUAACUAAAAGAACUUUAUUAUUUUUAUUUUGCAAUCUCAAAAUAAUUGACAAUAAAAAAAAUAGUAGAUUCUCCUUAAAUUUACAAAAAAUUAAUUCCUAGUUAAAUAUGAUAAAUUUGGGAUUUAUAAUUUAGGGGUGGUCACGGAUCGGAUUUUACAGCUUGGACAUCAAUUUAUAUUUGAUUCACGAUUUUGCGGAUUAUAAAUUUUUAAUCUAAUUCAAUCUACGAAUUGGUGAAAUUCAAUCCAUACGUUUGUGGGUUGGUUUUCGAGUUAAAAUUUUUUAAUUAUGUCCUAUCUAUGAACUAAUUAAAUACAAAAAUUAUUUUUCUACCGAUCAAAUUUAAAAUUAAAUAAGAUUUAAAUAAAUUAAUUGUUUAAAUAAAGUUAGAAAAUAUAUUCGUUAAAAAAAUUUCAUUUGUUUAAAUCAGUACAUGAAAAUUAACUACUUAAGAAGUUAUAUAUUUUUAUUUUAUAUUAUUACCGGAUGAUAUACAAUAUGAUGUUAAUGUAAUUAUAUUUUAAUUCAUUUAUUUAUUAGUAAGUAUAAUACUAAUAAGUAUUAUUACCUAACUAUAAAAAAUUAUUACUUAAUUUUUUAUUAAGUAAAUUUUUUUUAUUCUUUUUGCGGAUUCACAGAUUUUUUUGAAUUUACAGAAGUAAAUCUAUAUCCAAUCCAACAACCCACAUAUUCGAUUUUGACGGAUCGAAUUUUUAUAGAUUAUACGGAUUGAGCGGAUCGGAUUGGAUUUUGAACACUCUUAAUUUAUAUGUAAAGAUGUAUGUUUGAAUUAUAUGAAAGGACAAAAUUAAAACUUAAUACUUUUAGAAAAACUACUCUUUCAAAAUCUAUUCUAAGAUGGCAUAAUUUUGUUAAACGUGAUUUUAAAAAAUUUAUCAAAAACUAAAAUUUAUUUGUAGAAUCUCAAAAUAUCCUGAACCUCACGACAAAAUUCUACUGAUAUAAAUAGCUUCACUAUCUAUCUAAAUUUUAAUUGUUGUAAAGUUGGCCUAAUUUGUAAUAUUCCUAUUGUAUUUAUGAAUAUAGCUGUAAUUCCUUUUGAAACUAAAAUAAGCACAAUUCUUUAAAAGGAUUCUUUUCAUUAAUUUGAAUUUUCAGUUAAGUUAUGAACACAAGAUUUAUUUUUUAUUGAAGAUGUAUAAUUAUUAAAAAAUUUAAUAUUAAUAUACAAAAAUAAUUUGUAAAAUUAUAUAGUAUAAAUUUGUAAAAAAAAAUAUUUGCUCCUCUAUUUGAAUUUAGUGACCAUUCAUUCUCAUUUGAUUUGGAGUAAAUUAAACUAACAAAUUGUUCAAAAAAGGAAAAUUGAGAAGGAUUGAUUUGUUAGGGAUUUUAGGACAUAUUUUGUUUAAAGAAAUAUAGAGAAGAGAGGAGAGGAAAGGAGGGGAAAAAAAGAGAGGAGAAAAAUGAACUUUUGUUGAACCGAACAAUAAAAAUGAGAUUAAUUGUCCUCUUUUUUUCACUCAUUUUCAACCAGGAAACUAUCUUCAGACAUCCCAACCUUCAUCUUUACCAAAAAACCACCUUCUGCAGAGAUCUGAUAUUGUUUUGGGUUGAAUCAAGAUCAUACCAAAAUACUUAUAGUUACUUUUCGGUGAUUAUAAAUCACAGUUUGGAGAAUUAGUACAACAGAAUAUUGAUAUUGAUAUUUGGCGGCACUGCAGUCCAAACCUUGAUACUAGCCAUCAUUACCAUGCGGUGCGACUGGGAUAGAGAGGUACCUCCAUUCCUUAAAAAUCUUUUUGGAGUCGUCGUCUUUUAGUAUCACAACUUGGGAUGAAUUAGCUUAGCCUUUAACUUUAUGGUUUUUUUUUCUUUUUUUUGGUGAAUCUUUAGGCGGAGAAAGCAGCCACGGCUUUAAGGAACAUAAAAUAAGAGAAUCGAUCCGGGCCAAGUUGGUUGGAAAUGCUAGUAAACCUUUUUUUUUGGGGUCCUUUAUAAAAAAUCAAGAAAUGUUAUAAUUUUCCAAACAAUUAUUAUUUGCUGAGCUUUGGGUGAAAAAGUUUCGAUAUUUUAAGGAAGCAGUUUCUGGGUAUUGUAUUGUGGUGAUAUUUAUCGGGGCUAUUUUGAAAUUUGGAAAAGUGUGGAGUGAAAUAAAGUUAUUAAAUUUUGCUAUAUCAGUUACUGUAUAGAAUGUAGCCCCCACCCAUACAUUUAUAUUUUUUUAUCGUGUAUUUGUAAUUUUUUUUUUUGAAAGGGUGUAUUUGUAAUAGUUGGUAACUAAAAGAACUUUAUUAUUUUUAUUUUGCAAUCUCAAAAUAAUUGACAAUAAAAAAAAAGUAGAUUCUCCUUAAAUUUACUAAAAAUUAAUUCCUAGUUAAAUAUGAUAAAUUUGGGAUUUAUAAUUUAGGGGUGGUCAUGGAUCGAAUUUUACAGAUUGGACAUCAAUUUAUAUCUGAUUCACGAUUUUGCGGAUUAUAAGUUUUUAAUCCAAUUCAAUCCACGAAUUGAUGAAAUUCAAUCCAUACGUUUGUGGGUUGGUUUGCGAGUUAAAAAUUUUUAAUUAUGUCAUAUCUAUGAACUAAUUAAAUACAAAAAUUAUUUUUCUAC
rnacentral:lncRNA from 1 species